rnacentral:rRNA from 1 species
UACGUAGGGGGCAAGCGUUGUCCGGAAUCAUUGGGCGUAAAGAGCGUGUAGGCGGCCCGGUAAGUCCGCUGUGAAAAUCCAGGGCUCAACCCUGGGAUGCCGGUGGAUACUGUCGGGCUCGAGUCCGGAAGAGGAGUGUGGAAUUCCUGGUGUAGCGGUGAAAUGCGCAGAUAUCAGGAGGAACACCAAUGGCGAAGGCAGCACUCUGGGACGUGACUGACGCUGAGACGCGAAAGCGUGGGGAGCAAACAGG